GAUGGACGCUAGCUACAGGCUUAACACAUGCAAGUCGCGGGGCAGCAUGGGGGUUGCUUGCACUCCCCGAUGGCGACCGGCGCACGGGUGAGUAACGCGUAUCCAACCUGCCCUUCACCACGGGAUAACCCGGCGAAAGUCGGACUAAUACCGUAUGUUGUCCAUUGACGGCAUCCGAAUUGGACGAAAGGUUUGGCGGUGAAGGAUGGGGAUGCGUCCGAUUAGCUGGACGGCGGGGUGACGGCCCACCGUGGCGACGAUCGGUAGGGGUUCUGAGAGGAAGGUCCCCCACACUGGAACUGAGACACGGUCCAGACUCCUACGGGAGGCAGCAGUGAGGAAUAUUGGUCAAUGGGCGUAAGCCUGAACCAGCCAAGUAGCGUGCAGGAUGACGGCCCUACGGGUUGUAAACUGCUUUUAUGCGGGGAUAAAGUGGCCCACGUGUGGGUUUUUGCAGGUACCGCAUGAAUAAGGACCGGCUAAUUCCGUG
rnacentral:rRNA from 1 species